rnacentral:lncRNA from 1 species
AUUAUCAUGACCAAAAGUCUUUUAUUAUUAACAACAAUUGCACACAUUUUGUUGGGAAAAAAGGUAUACAAAUUAUAAAACAGUUAACAAUGUUUCCUUAAGGAGAGAAGUGUUAAUGCUCUUCUCUAAUUAUGCUUUUAAUGGUAUUUUGUUCUAUUUUUUUUAUUUUCAAUAGCUUCUUUAUUUCCCUUGGGAUAUUGAAGCUUUACUUAAUCUUAUUCUUUCUAAGUAGGGCAGAGAAUUCCUGUUUCAAGUCUCCACAAAACAAAAUCCCUUUUCCUGACAUAGUAGAAAGGACAGGUGCUUGGAUGUUUGGUUGGCAGGGGAAAGGAAAGAGUCCAGGUGCUACUGAUAGAAAUAUUCAAACAAAUCCUCCAGUUUUCGACUCCACCACUCACUGUGGUGCCUUCCUCAAGUCCUUGGAGCUCCAAGUCUCUGAAGAAUAUUUCAGGCAAUGAGAGGAGUCCCUGACUGUUUAAGCUGAAUGAAUGAAACUUCCACUGCAAGCAAAGAGGAUAGAAGAGUAAUCCUCAUGAAGCGGCUGUUGUACACUCAGGAGGAUAUGUUUUAAAUAAUGUUCCCACAAAAAGCACCUGCAAACAUCAGAAUCUAAAGGAAAGAAAUCACAACAAAUGAGAUUCAGCCUGAUUAGGGAAAAUGAUUUUCUCUAUCACUUUUACACUGCAAGGCUAGGCUUUGUCUGAAUCUUAUUAAUACGAGAGUGAUGCCGAGAUAACUAAGGCUGAUAAAGAAUAAAUACAAUUUGACCGGAUUCAGCCACAAAUAUCAGAUGUUUUGAAAGAUUAUCAUAAGUGGCUCAAAUUCACUUAAUUCUUUUAUAAAACAAGUUUUUGUUGGACUAUAAAAUAUUUUCCAAUUUCCCUGGAUGAGAAAUGGCAAAAGAGGUUAAUUAAAAGUCAACUGAAGACUACUUAGGCACUUAAACAUGUAAUUUCCUGAGCUUCAAACUUAAAUAGCUCAAACUAGUUAAAAAAUAGCUUAUUAUUGUAAUUCAUGUAUUUCCUCUUUAAAUAUACCUUUCUUAGUUUGAUUUAAAAAUCUCACUAAAAGUUUGAAAAAAAACUAGUCAUUUAAUAAUCAUUCCAUAUUUGAAGGAAUGAAUGAGAAUAUACAUGCAAGCACAGAGAAGGGUACAAGGGUCUCUUCCAAUCCUCAGAACACUAAUUGCAGGCUUCUCUGUCCCUCUUUACUUAUAUUUUCUUUCUCACCUCCGUGUCCUCACCCUGGCACCUUUUCUCUCUCUAUGUUGGAUUAUCCAGCUGUUACACAUCUGUCAGAAUCCUAUUACUUCCUCAUGACCCAGGUUAAAUUGUUCUUCCUCUGAGGUGCUCUUUCAGACUCUCAUAUUCUCUCUCUUGAUUUCCUGUUACAUUCUUUGGGCAAUUCCCUCUUCAUUUCAGGAAGAGGCCUUAUCUCUUCCUUUUUACUGUGUAUUUCCCGGGAUUAAGGAGGAUACCUAAUGCCUUGUACAGCAUCCCUUGCUUGGGCUUGGUAGUGGAAGGAAGUAUCAAGUUUCCCAUAUUGUGUCUAUUUCAGAAUCUAUGUUCAGUUCUGUCUCCACUGGCAAGUAACUUUUCCCAUAAAAAGAAGGAAGAAUAAGCACAUACUCCAGCCUAGAAACAAGGUCAAUUUUCAAACUCAAGGCCAACUAUGGAAUUGAAUGAGGCAGAGUUGUACGGCCAUGAAGACAGAGAAAUAAUUUUAGCUGGGGUUUAAAAGUGAUUAGCAGACAUUUUCAGAGUGUACUGUCAAAAAAUAAACACUUCUUUAUUAAUAUUUGAAGUUAACUUUGAACACUUAUUAAAGACAAAUUGAGGAUGUUCUGCAAUUAGUAAUAGGACUCUGAGAAACUCUACUCAUUAUGGAUAAGCUGUUCAUGCAACACAACAAAUGAGCCUUGUUUUGCCUUCAAGAAUGCCUAUCAGAACUUUUAAGACUUGGAGGCCUCAUGUUUUCUCAAGGCUCCAAGCCCUUUUACACAUUUCUCACCUGCCUGGAGCCACCCUCUCUUUACCAAGGUAACUCCUUUGCCAGGAGUUUUCUUAAAAACAAAAAUAUC